rnacentral:rRNA from 1 species
GACGAACGCUGGCGGCGUGCUUAACACAUGCAAGUCGAACGGAAAGGCCCUGCUUUCGUGCGGUGCUCGAGUGGCGAACGCGUGAGUAACACGUGUGUAUCCUGCCCUUGACUUUGGGAUAACUUCAGGAAACUGGGGCUAAUAUCGGAUAGGAGCUCCUGCUGCAUGGUGGGGGUUGGAUAGUCUCGGCGGUUGGGGAUGGACUCGCGGCUUAUCAGCUUGUUAGUGGGCUAGUGGCUGACCAAGGCUUUGACGGGUAGCCGGCCUGAGAGCGGGAACGGCGACGUUAGGACGAAGAGACGGCCCAGUGUGCAACGGGGGACAGCAGGCGGGAAUAUUACACAGUGGUAGGUCGUGUGAUGCAACAACGCCGCGUGCGGUAAGACGGCCUAUUGGUUGAAAACCGCUUUAGGCUGUGACGAAGCGUGAUUGACGGUACUGAAUAAAGAAGCACCGGCUAACUACGUG